rnacentral:rRNA from 1 species
UACGUAGGGUGCGAGCGUUGUCCGGAAUUAUUGGGCGUAAAGAGCUCGUAGGCGGUCUGUCGCGUCGGCUGUGAAAACUCGGGGCUCAACUCCGAGCUUGCAGUCGAUACGGGCAGGCUAGAGUUCGGCAGGGGAGACUGGAAUUCCUGGUGUAGCAGUGAAAUGCGCAGAUAUCAGGAGGAACACCGGUGGCGAAGGCGGGUCUCUGGGCCGAUACUGACGCUGAGGAGCGAAAGCGUGGGGAGCGAACAGG